rnacentral:tRNA from 1 species
AUUUAUAUAAUAUAUUUAGUAUACUUGACUUCCAAUCAAAAAGUUUAAUUUAUUUUUAAUAUAAAUA